GACGUCGUUGUAUUAAAACGGCCGUUUGCUUUGCCGUUUGGCUUUCUGAUCCGUACACCGUCCUCACACCCCAAAAAAAAAAAACAACAUAUCAGAGUCAGCUCGCUCCCCGGGAAGUCGAAGUAACCUCUGGUUAAGCAAUUCUAUCAUCGAUCUUCAGUUGUCAAUGAUCUUUCAUUUUAUUGGCUUCAUCUUGCGGUUAAAUUUCACCUCUGAGCAUCUGAUUUAGCUGGAGAACGUCUCUGGAUCCGUCUAUAACUCUAACUUUGCUCAAGUUAAACAAGAAUUUCAUUGCUUUUGGAGUGAGAAUGAAAGGUCAUGAAGCAAAGAUGCCAAGAAUGGAGGAUAUUCUUAGCCUUCCAGUACAAGAUCCUCCUUGUUCAGAGUUUUCUUCUUCUCAUAUAAAGUGGGUAAAAAUAGAAGGUGGUCGCCAAGGUGGUGAUGAUAUUGCUCUGAUCCCAUUUGCCAGAGUAGAUGAUUUCGUGAAAGGAGAGUCAUCUAAUGCAGAAUGUCCUGCAAACUUCCGUGUUGAAUCAAGGAGGAAAAGAUCUGAAGGAAGCAUCAGUAAACCAAGGGUCGAUGGUUAUCUUGAAUAUACACUGUAUGUUUUCUUUUUCUUCCUCACAAUCUUGUUUGUGGAGCUUCAUUGGCAUCUUUUGUUAAGAUGAUCUCUUUUUAUUAUGGAUUCAGUGGGAAACAGUAUCUUAUAUGCACUGCCAGUUUAGCAUUUCCAUAAAUACAUCUUAAUAUAGAGGAAUAAAAUAAGUUGGUCGCAUUGCAUCAACAAAAUACUUUUUAAGGUAAAAAUUAGAUGAGCAUUAAGAAAAUAUAUUCUGAUACUUCUGUUUUCCUUUUUAGAUAGAAGUAAUAUUAAAAAGAGAAGAGAAAUACUAGCACAGAGGACUAGCUAUCCUCCCUGAUGAAAGAAAAACACAAGUAAAUAUAUUAACAAAA